GCCAGCCAGGAAGGAGGAGGCAGCCAGAGUGUUCUCUGCAGCAGAAGACCCCUUGCUGCACUGCUUAACCCAGACCAGCAUUUGCCAGAAGAAGGCUGCUUAAAAUUGUGAAACUGGCUUCUCGGAUGAUGAUCCUGCCGCCUAGGAAUUUGAAAUAUCUGCCCAGACCUGACCUACUCUUACCUCUAGUGCUGAAUUACCUGGGAAGAUUCCUGAUACUUCUAGCAGUCAAACAACACAGAUGUGACAAAGCAGACAAUAAACUCUGCUCUCCCCCAUUGCCUUCUGCUGGGUGUGACCCAAAGAGGAAAUACCAAAAUACCACCAGAAAGCCUAUUCCCACAGUGUGCUGCCUAAUCAAAACCAGGAGACCUCUUGUCUCUGUCCCUGAAAAGGGCUGUUCUAGUUCCCAGAUUUUUGGAUCAAAGAGGAAUCAGAUGAACCCCAGAUAGUCAACAUUCCUCUUGACUGAACCUCUCAUUCUUGGUGAGGAAGCACUCACAAGAAUGGUGAUCCAAACUCCAGAGAACAGACCUCACAGUUCACAAUAUUGUUUGUUUGCCGUUACCAUUGCCAAAUGGGGCCUUGUCAGUGGAAAUCAGCAAGCUGAGGAGAAGCACAGCAAGUCCACCUUCCCUGCUCUUGUGCUAUGAAAAAGAUCAAGCUUUUAAAAGAAACAAGUCCUCCCACCUGGAACCACAGGUAGCAAUUGUGCUGGCAACUUCAGACUAUGUACAUCUGGCUCACAGCUUAAUGACUUAAACAAGAGGUGCCUGGUGCCACCAAAUCUGCCCUGCCACAUAAACCCAGAGGAACUCCUCUCAGAGAGGAGAGCUGGUCUUGUGGUAGCAAGCAUGACUUGUCCCCUUAGCAAAGCAGGGUCCGCCCCGGUUGCAUAUGAAAGGGAGAAUAGAAGUGUGAGCACUGCAAGAUAUCCCCUUAGGGGAUGGAGCCGCUCUGGGAAGAGCAGAAGGUCCCAAGUUCCCUCCCUGGCUUCUCCAAGAUAGGACAAGAUUUUUUUUUAAUAGGACAAGAUUUUUUUAUUGAACCAACAAACUACCAAACCAUACAGUACGUUACCAAAGCACAAUUAUAUACAAAGUGGUUGUUUGUGCAUGAUAUAUCUACAAAGAUUUACACACAAGGAUUUGGAAACACACAAGUUAUGAAGUAUAUGCAGGUAGUACUGUAACUCGGGGUGGGGGAUUUCAAGGCACAUCAGGUAAUCGGGGUGUGUGUGUGUGUGUGUUACAUCCAACGUCCAUUUCCACAAUUUGUCCCAUUGCUGUUUAGAAGAAAUAUUAUUGUCUUUUUGCACAUAACCAUACAAACUUUUCCAGAAGAGA